rnacentral:misc_RNA from 1 species
GAUGAAGAACGUAGCGAAAUGCGAUAAGUAAUGUGAAUUGCAGAAUUCCGUGAAUCAUCGAAUCUUUGAACGCACAUUGCGCCCCCUGGUAUUCCUGGGGGCAUGCCUGUUCGAGCGUCAUUAACAACCAAUCGGGCGGGGCUUUUGCAUGCUCCCGCUCGGCCAUGGGGGAUGGACGUCGUCGGACGCCCACCCCCGAAAUGCAACGGCGGACGGCCACCCGUGGCACUGCGGCGUAGUAAGUUAACCCUUCGCGCGCGCCCACGGAGUGGACUGCCCGGCCGCUUGAACCCCCACACAUCCUACGGUUGACCUCGGAUCAGGUAGGGAUACCCGCUGAACGUAAGCAUAUCAAUAAGCGGAGGA